CUUAAUUGGGCGUUAAGUUGCAGGGUAUAGACCCGAAACCCGGUGAUCUAGCCAUGGGCAGGUUGAAGGUUGGGUAACACUAACUGGAGGACCGAACCGACUAAUGUUGAAAAAUUAGCGGAUGACCUGUGGCUGGGGGUGAAAGGCCAAUCAAACCGGGAGAUAGCUGGUUCUCCCCGAAAGCUAUUUAGGUAGCGCCUCGUGAAUUCAUCUCCGGGGGUAGAGCACUGUUUCGGCUAGGGGGCCAUCCCGGCUUACCAACCCGAUGCAAACUGCGAAUACCGGAGAAUGUUAUCACGGGAGACACACGGCGGGUGCUAACGUCCGUCGUGAAGAGGGAAACAACCCAGACCGCCAGCUAAGGUCCCAAAGUCAUGGUUAAGUGGGAAACGAUGUGGGAAGGCCCAGACAGCCAGGAUGUUGGCUUAGAAGCAGCCAUCAUUUAAAGAAAGCGUAAUAGCUCACUGGUCGAGUCGGCCUGCGCGGAAGAUGUAACGGGGCUAAACCAUGCACCGAAGCUGCGGCAGCGAACGUAUCACUUAAAGCGAUUCAGCGGGUUACGAUUGACGGAGCGAAGCGACGUCAAAGCGUAUACAAAGUCGAGUCGGUUUAAGGAUACGUUCGUUGGGUAGGGGAGCGUUCUGUAAGCCUGUGAAGGUGUGUCGUGAGGCAUGCUGGAGGUAUCAGAAGUGCGAAUGCUGACAUAAGUAACGAUAAAGCGGGUGAAAAGCCCGCUCGCCGGAAGACCAAGGGUUCCUGUCCAACGUUAAUCGGGGCAGGGUGAGUCGACCCCUAAGGCGAGGCCGAAAGGCGUAGUCGAUGGGAAACGGGUUAAUAUUCCCGUACUUGGUGUUACUGCGAAGGGGGGACGGAGAAGGCUAUGUUGGCCGGGCGACGGUUGUCCCGGUUUAAGCGUGUAGGUGUGUGUUCCAGGUAAAUCCGGUUCACUUUAACACUGAGGCGUGAUGACGAGGCACUACGGUGCUGAAGCAACAAAUGCCCUGCUUCCAGGAAAAGCCUCUAAGCAUCAGGUAACAUCAAAUCGUACCCCAAACCGACACAGGUGGUCAGGUAGAGAAUACCAAGGCGCUUGAGAGAACUCGGGUGAAGGAACUAGGCAAAAUGGUGCCGUAACUUCGGGAGAAGGCACGCUGACAUGUAGGUGAAGUGAUUUACUCAUGGAGCUGAAGUCAGUCGAAGAUACCAGCUGGCUGCAACUGUUUAUUAAAAACACAGCACUGUGCAAACACGAAAGUGGACGUAUACGGUGUGACGCCUGCCCGGUGCCGGAAGGUUAAUUGAUGGGGUCAGCGCAAGCGAAGCUCCUGAUCGAAGCCCCGGUAAACGGCGGCCGUAACUAUAACGGUCCUAAGGUAGCGAAAUUCCUUGUCGGGUAAGUUCCGACCUGCACGAAUGGCGUAAUGAUGGCCAGGCUGUCUCCACCCGAGACUCAGUGAAAUUGAACUCGCUGUGAAGAUGCAGUGUACCCGCGGCAAGACGGAAAGACCCCGUGAACCUUUACUAUAGCUUGACACUGAACAUUGAGCCUUGAUGUGUAG
rnacentral:rRNA from 1 species